GUCGCUCAAAAGGUCUCAUGAAAUACCUUUUCUCUUUCACUGUACAAUUCAUAUUUUUGCCCACCUCUAUUGACCCCAAAAUAAAAUCAGUCACAUUGAUUGAUAAUUUGCAAACUGGGGCAACCUCUGCUUCGAAAUGUCCGUUGUGUCUAAUUAUAUCUAACUCACAUCUAAGUGAAAGCAAAAAUGUGCAUUAUUCUUGUUUGUUUUGAGAAUUUGGAAUGAUACUUUGAGCGUUCGUUUCUCUACCUAUACACAUUUUAUCAUUUGCUCUUCCAUUUGAGCCUUUGAAAGAAUAAUUUCGUUUCAAAUAAGAACCCUAAUGAUCACUACCCUUCAUUGGAAAAUUUUCAAAUAUCAGAAAGGGGAAUGGAUUUUCAAUGACCAUUCCGUUACUUUGGUUGUCAUGAGGUGUAAGAAUGAUCCUUUGGCCAUCGUUUCUACAACUUAAACACUACUUUAUCCCUUGCAUCCUCAUUUGAGCUAAAAAUUGGUGGUUCUUUUCGAAUGCACAUAUGAUCGCCCCCCACAUUGGGGAAGGAGAUUGGGGAAUUUUGAAAAAAAAAAAA
rnacentral:lncRNA from 1 species